rnacentral:rRNA from 1 species
GAUGAACGCUGGCGGCGUGCCUAAUACAUGCAAGUCGAGCGAACGGACGAGAAGCUUGCUUCUCUGAUGUUAGCGGCGGACGGGUGAGUAACACGUGGAUAACCUACCUAUAAGACUGGGAUAACUUCGGGAAACCGUAGCUAAUACCGGAUAAUAUUUUGAACCGCAUGGUUCAAAAGUGAAAGACGGUCUUGCUGUCACUUAUAGAUGGAUCCGCGCUGCAUUAGCUAGUUGGUAAGGUAACGGCUUACCAAGGCAACGAUGCAUAGCCGACCUGGGCGGGGGAUCGGCCACACGGGAGCUGAGACACGGUCCAGAGUCCUGCGGGAGGCAGCAGUAGGGAAUCUUCCGCAAUGGGCGAAAGCCUGACAGAGCAACGGCACGUGAGUGAUGAAAGUCUUCGGAUCGUAAAACUCUGUUAUUAGGGAAGAACAUAUGUGUAAGUAACUGUGCACAUCUUGACGGUACCUAAUCAGAAAGCCACGGCUAACUACGUG